GUGCUUGCUUUAACAGCACAUAUACUAAAACUGGAAUAACUCAGAAAGUUAACGUGGCCCCUACUAUGCACAAGGAUGACAUGCAGAUUCCCAUCACCCCCACCCCUGUCGCUCUUUU
ensembl:snRNA predicted gene, 22242